rnacentral:lncRNA from 1 species
UCAUGCAUAAGAAGGACACAUAGAAGGUGUAGAGGAAUCUCGAGGAGGGUCAGAUGCUGUUGGAGGAACAGACGUUGGCGACUGGCCUUGUUACCACCUACUCGGCUUCCUUCUCCCUGGAGUGUGUCCUCGCCUCUUUCCUUCGCAUCCCUUCCCAAGCGUGUCCCUCUUCUCAGCUGCAUCUGGGAACACUGGCCUUUCUCUCCUGUGACAGAACUGAACAGCUCAGGCUCGUCUGCUCUCAGGCCCGAAGUUCCCAUCCUUAACACGUGGACCGUCUUUGAACAGCACUGCUCUAUCCGACUGCCGGCUCGGACUGGCCACGUGUUGAGGACGCAUUGCAGAAUGAAUCUGGAUCGUAUAGCUGACGGUUUUGACGAAGAAAAAUGGAAAGCUGAGCAUCUUGUGGGUUUUUACCAUGACUCAGAUCCUUUCCUGGGCUCUGUGCGAAGAGAACCGUCUCGUUCUCCAGAGGCGAUGCUGCGGCAAGGGGUCUAGGCGAGACCUGUACCCUAGAGACCACUUGACGGUAUCUUCUUAUAUUUGGAGAGGCAAAUAGGCCAGAACGUUAAAACAGCCGAAACUACUAUUUCAAAAGACUGUAUU